CCGUACUAGAUGGGGAACUAGCGGUACCUUGUAACCUGCAAUCCGCUACAGCAGGGUUGAUCAAAACUAUGAGGUGCCAACUUGUCGAGUUUGCCGCAGUAAAGUGGCGAUGAAGAUUGGGUCUUGCGCAACGGAUGCUUGUGAACCGUGUCAGGUCUGGAAGGAAGCAGCACUAAGCAAUGAUUUUUCGUGUGCCGCGAGGGUGCCUGGUCCGAGCUAACUAACUGUGUACCAUCGGGAGGUUGU
rnacentral:SRP_RNA from 1 species